UUAAACGGCCGCGGUACUCUAACCGUGCGAAGGUAGCGUAAUCACUUGUCUACUAAAUAUAGACCAGUAUGAAUGGCACCACGAGGGUUACACUGUCUCCCGACUUAAGUCAGUUAAACUGAUCUCCCCGUGAAGAAGCGGGGAUGUCACUAUAAGACGAGAAGACCCCAUGGAGCUUUAAACUAAAACCAACUGCUAAACAUACACCUAUAAAACACAGCAGUAAUGACUAAAGUUUUCGGUUGGGGCGACCACGGAGUAUAGUAAAACCUCCCCGAUGAAUGAACAUAAAUUCUUACCCAAGGGCCACACCCCGAAGGAGCACAACUGUGACAUCCAUUGACCCAAANAUUUGA
rnacentral:rRNA from 1 species